CGGUCUGAAACUAGGACCGAGUCCUGCUUGCGACCGCCGCCCGAAUUGUGUACGUUCAGCAUGCUCUUUCGGGGAAGCCCCCACUCAUUUCACCGCUUGCCCACUCAUUGUGCAUCCGUUGGAUGGGACUUCUCCCCCUAUUGUAGCUCUUUAGCCACGAUUAUGGUGUACCACAAGACUAACCCGUAGGCUAGUCUUGAUUUGGGAAGUAACCCGAAGUCCUACCCGGACGCCGCCUAAUCGAACAACCACUCCAUUUUCGAGUGGUUCCGCUGCUAGGCAUCGACCAGACUCUCCUGCUAGUCGGUGUGACCCGUACUCUGUGCCCGGUCUGAAGAUGCCCUCCGUCGUCACCCCUUAGAAUCUGUUACCCGCUUUCGGACUGCGUGGUGCGGCGCACCUCCUUCUGUGGGGAUACCCCGCAUUUGAAGAAAACGCACUCUUCUUCCGAGACGUAACGU
rnacentral:rRNA from 1 species